rnacentral:rRNA from 1 species
UACCAGCACCCCGAGUGGUCGGGACGUUUAUUGGGCCUAAAGCAUCCGUAGCCGGUUCUACAAGUCUUCCGUUAAAUCCACCUGCUCAACAGAUGGGCUGCGGAAGAUACUAUGGAGCUAGGAGGCGGGAGAGGCAAGCGGUACUCGAUGGGUAGGGGUAAAAUCCGUUGAUCCAUUGAAGACCACCAGUGGCGAAGGCGACUUACUGGACACAUAUUGACGCUGAGGUGCGAAAGCGUGGGGAGCAAACAGG